rnacentral:lncRNA from 1 species
CUACUUGCUAGCUUUGCAAUCCUUCAACCUUGAACUAGAACUUGUGUGAAUGUGUGUGUGUGUGUGUGUUAGUGUGUGUGUGUGUGUGUGUGCUGGCACUGAGAGUUCCUGGUAAGGGGGAAAACACAUUCCAAUUCUGCCUUAGUCAGAAAAGUCACUUAUAUACACACACACACACUCACACUCACACACACACCGGUUGGUUGGUGUUACUGCGGCAUGGUUUGGCUGCAGCUAUAGUCCAGGGGGGAGGGCUCUCACUCACACACACACACUCUCUGUCUCUCUCUCUCUCUCUCUCUUACACACACACACUUCUCGACUUCUCGCGCUCUCCCUCACACACUGACUGAAUUGCACUGCCUCCUCCUCGUUAGCUGUGUGUGUUACACUCCUGACAGGAUUGCAUGAGACAGGCACGUCCAAGGCUGGCUGUCCUGAGUGUGUGUAUGUAUGUAUGUAUGUGUGUGUGUGGGUGUGUAUGACGUGUCUCCUCCUGUCUCCCUGCCAACUGCGGACUUUUGACUUUCCUUUUUCCAGCAUUUGGAUUAUUAGGUGAGACUUAUGAAUCACAAGGAGUGACACUAUGGACUUCAGUCUGGUGCUCAGACACUACAAACCCAAAAAUUUCCCUUCAGCUGGGUGACACCUCUUCUCGAUCCUUCCUGUUGGCCCCAAGUGAAUCAUAUAGUGACCAGUUGAAGCUAUGGGCCAUGUGGCAGAGCUGAUUGGCUAAAUUCUGUCUGGAUUUACUGGUUUGUGAUUGGAGAUAUGAGUGAAAUUCAGCCAUCUGCGGAUUCCAUGAAACCCCCAGAUGGGGUUCACCAUACCAUGCGACUGCCAUUACACAGUGGUGCUACAGAGGGCAGUGCUUAUGCCGAAUCUUCGUCAUCAUCCUCAGCGUCACCAGACUCCAUGCGCAGCCUUAGUAGCCUUAGUGGAGGACGAACGGACAGCCCACUGGACCUGGACAUGCCUGAUGGGAUUAUGGGAAGGAAGGUCACCACAGGUGAGGACGACUCUGGGAUUCAAAGCCCAGACUGUAGACCCGAAAACGAUAAUGACAACUCAACGUCCAUCUACUUAGAUGCGGAUGAGCAAGGGUGGUGUGAAAUUCGUGAUGACCAGGAUAACGUCACUCUGGUUCUGACCCACAAACAAGGACUGAACAAUGGCUGCAGUGAUGUCAAUAGCAAUGGUAACCACGGAAGGCGGAGUUCAGAUGACUCUUCUGCAACAGAAGCAUUGCUGUGCUGUUCUGGGAAUGAGGAGAAGGAGGAUGAAGACGAAGAGGAAGACACUUUCCUGUCUCUAACUUCCGUUGAUGUGGUGAUGAAGUGCCAGAAUGAACCUGAGGAGGAUGAGAUUCAGAGCUCAACACGAAAGCUCAAUGUGAACUCUGUCUACAAGCUUCAAAAUGAAUCUCUUCAGGAUGAAGAUGAGUGGGGCCAGAUGGAGAGCUCCUGGAGGCCUGACCUAGGCAAUAUGAAUUGGCUCCAUCAGAAACCUCUUCAGGAGUCAAUAGUGAGUCGCACUGAGAAGAGCCAGUUGCAGAGCUCAACCAGAAGGUUCAGUGUGGGUCAUGUGAGUGAGCUCUAUAAGGAAGCUCCUCAGGACUCAGUAAAACUUCAUACUGAAGAUAGGCAAUUGCAAAGCUCAACCAAAUGGUUCAGUGUGGAUCAUAUUAGCAAGCUCCAUCAGGUAGCUCUUGAAGACGCAAUGAAGCUUCACACUGAGAAUAGGCAAUUGCAGAGUUCAACCAAAAUUCCUAGUGUGGUCCAAGUGAGAACAAUCCAACAGGAGGCUCCUCUGGAGUUUCCUAGUAGGUCUGACAUAACCUCUGUGACUGAACUUAAUCAGGAGGCUCUUCCGGAAUCAGUUGAGCUUCACCCAGACCUGGGACAGAUGCAGAGCUCAAUCAGGGGGUCUACUGUGAAUGCUGUGGAUGAUCCUCAGGAAUCAGUAGAACCGCAGCCUGAGGACGAUGAGAUACCGAACUUAGCCAGGGCAAUUAAUAUGGACUCUGUAAAGGAGCUUCAGGAAUCAGUGGAACUUUACAACGAAGAGGACCAGAUCCAUAACUCAUCCAGGACCACCAAUAUGGACACUGCAAAUAAGCUUCAAGAAUUGGUGGAACUACACACUGAGGAGGACCAGCUGCAGAGCUCAUCCAAGAGGCUGGAUGUAGGUCCUGUAAGUGAGCUUAUGGUCUUUGAAGAGCCUCAAGUUGAGACAAGUUUAUCUCAACCACUUUCAGAAGGGGAAACUUCCAUACCCCUCCAGGAAGCACAAAACACACAUGUCUCUUCUGCCACCAUCACAGAUACCACAUGCUGUGUCCAAGUAACACCUGCCUUGCAGAACACUAAAGAUUGCACAGGUCAAAGUCUUACUAGACCUGCCACGAAACCACUAACGUCCAAAUCCACCAAACCAGAACUGAAACGCUUUCCUAGACCUGACCUGAAGAAUGUCAAAGCCAAGAUCAUUUCGAGAACUUCCUCUGUCCCAAGACCAGCUAGUUCCAGUCAAUCAGGUGCAGGCACUGAGAAGAAGCCUUUGCCUACUAGAGGCAGAGUGGCCAACAAGAAAGAGCAAGACAAAGAGGAGGAAACAAGAGUCACCAAGAAGAGCAGGUCAUCCUCAAGACAGGCAAGAGCGGCGAUACCUGCAACUGUUUCAGACCCCAACCCUAAAGCCAUACCCCCUCAGACAGAGAAAAGACCACCCCCAAAUACCACCCCAGAGGUGGUUGUCAACCGAGACCAGGAGGAGAGCAGCAGUGCAGAGGUCAUGGAGGUAGUGAAGGAAGAGGCAGAGUAUCCCAAAGAGGAGGUCACUCUAGUGGAACAGUCUGUAGAGAUUCCUGAUGACUCAGACCAGAAGGGGUCCAGAGUGAAGCCCCCCAAAUCUACGGGAGGGAAUGUGUGUGUGCCCGCAGGGGUACGAGCUGCUGCGCCGGCCGGUGCUCCCAAGACAUGUAGCCCUGUCUCCUCCAGCGGUCGAGGUCCUCAAAAGCUCACCUCCUCCAAACUGCCAGUCAAGGGAGGCGGCCUACCCACAACCCCCAGCUCCUCGUCACUGGGGAGUGCAGCCAGUGAGAACAACACUGCAAUCAACAACAGAGGUGUCGCUCAGGUGAUGAAGAAUGAAGAGAAAGCUGUAAGACUCCCAUCAUCCUCACAGGGAAAGCCUGCUAUCGGUAAAGCAACAGUGGGAAUCCGUAACAGAGCAAACUCUACACCUGUGAAGCCCACCUCCGCAGGCCAGAAGGCCCUAACACAGACCAGUACCACUGCAGCCAAGUCUACCCACAAUGCCCUGCAGCGCAGCGCUUCUGCAAGACCCAACCGGCCCUCUGGAUCUGCAGGUAUACUGUGUGUUUGUUGGGUGUGAGUUUGCGUGUGUCUAUGUGUAAAGAAAUUAAGUGUUUCAUGGGGACUACAUUGUGGGGACUACAGUAUAAACAUAGUGUGCUGUGUGCACAUUUUUAGCGCAUUGUGAGACCCCAGAGUGAAUAUUGUGAUGUGACUUUGAACACCAGUGGGUGUGUGUGCAUGUUUUUAGUUAAUUGUGGGGACCACAUUGUGUGACUCCAGAGAUGAAUAUUGUAAUGUGACCUGGAUUAGAAGUGUGUGUGUGUGCAUGGUUUUAUUGUUUUGUGGGGACCACCUUUUAAGGUCCCCAGGAUCUUGAUGUGGCCUGGAUUAUGAGUACACGUGUGUGCAUGUGUUUUUAGUGCUUUAGGGGGGACGCAGGAUAAACAUUGAGAUUUGACAUGGAAUACAAGUGUGUGUGUGAGAGUGAAAUAUUUACAUACAUAACUUUUUAAUUAAGACCAAAUACUGCAUAUCUCGUACACACCCACACAAAAACACACACACAUACAUGUGCACAGUCACUGGUUAUGCUGACUCACUUUUUAGACAUUUGGGGCUCAGCCCAUAAAUACUUAAGAGGUGUGUCAAGUAGAGUGAGUUCAUGGAGAGACAAAGAGAUAGAGAGAGAGAGAGAGAUAGAGAGAGAGAGAGAGAGAGAGAGAGAGAGAGAGAAAGAGAAACAGAAAAAGAGUGGGCAGGGAGUUAGAGUUUGGAGAGAUGCUUGAUGCCUUGCAUUGCAUUUAAGAAAAUAAUAAAAUGAUAAAAUAUAAAGAACA